CCAAGGGGCAUUAGUGGUUUGGGCUGGGCCUUUUGUGCCCAGGUACUCUGCCACCUGUGUUGCUGAUGGUGUCAAGGAAGGAGGACUUGGCCUAGGGUUGUCUGAGCCGGAGCCAGCAGCUCCACUGGAGAGCAGUGCAGGCAGAGUGGAGCCUCCUGCUCUCCUGGACCAGCUGCAGACCCCCAACCCUGGUUUCUGUGCCAUGUUGCGCUCUGACCGUCUCUGUUGCUUCUCUUCUGGUGUUGCUUCUCCUCCCUCCCAUUCUCUCUGCAACUCCCUGCGGGCCGCAUCGCUUGCUUUCACUGCCGUCUGGCUAGGACUCCCUUCUUCCUUCCUUCCCCGAGAAGGCCUCAAUGUGGCGAGGAAGAUGCUGGGGCCGGUAGGGCUGUGAGAUCAUCUGGGGAGGCUAGCCGGGUGGGGCGGGAGCCUCUCAGCUGUCCAGAUUCAGAACUGGAGCCCACUCCUCCUCCCUCUCGUUGCCUCAGCCUGCCCUCACCCUCAGGACUAGGCAGAGAUGUGUUCUGAGCUGGAUGCCGGGAUCCAGAAUCGCUGCACAGUUCCAACAGGACAGCGCCUUCCCCCAUGCGCUGGGAGGGGACCCUCCAUUUCUCCCCCUCACCCAUGCUGAGUGUAGAGCCGGGGCCUGGGUGGUGGGCAGGGGCUGGGUGGGAGGUGGCAGUAGUCUUAGCCUGUGCACUCUCUUCCUUGGGUGUUUGGUGCUGGCUCCU
rnacentral:sRNA from 1 species